rnacentral:lncRNA from 1 species
CAGGAUUUCAGAAGAAGUGCCAUGGAGAUCUUUUUUCAUCCCUUUUUUACUUGAACCCUUCACAGGGCUAAGGGUACAACCGGUGAAUGUUUUCAGCCCUGGCUGCUGGAACCAAAAGACCUGACUCAUGAUUCAAGCUACAGAAAGUGUCUGCUUCUAACAUUUGUAGUUGUGAAGUGUUGUCCAUUCACAACCAUACAAUYAUCUUCAGCUCUGACAUGAAUGACACUCCAGAUAUUGGCUAGCUAAGGUCAUUUAUGGCAGCUCUCCUCCUGUCAGGGAGAAGCACAAUUUAUCUAUCAGGGAAGCGUCACAGCAAUACGCCUGAAGACAGAAGAAAAUCUGAAUGCUCAGAGCUAAAAAGUCAGAUGCCCCUUCAUCAUUACAUAGAAGAGGUAAUGCAGUACACCCACGAAUUUUACUUGCACUACAACAGGACUGGAACGGAUCAGCCACAACUACAGCUACUUUAUUUUCUGACAAAAAGAAAUGCUCCUUCUGCUUCGUACCUGAUGCUACCAGCUCUACCAAAAUAGCUGUGAAGGUUGCUC